ensembl:lncRNA
ACCCAACGGAUCAGGGAAUGUCUCGGUUACUCAAACUGAAAUAUCAAAUCAAAAAUGUAAAAGAUGAUGCUAACUGUGUGACCACGAACCCCAGAACGACAGCUCAAAAGCAAAACCCGACGGAGAAUUCAAUGAAGAGGGGGGAGCUGGUUUUCUGAAGAACAGGAUGAAGGCUGAGCCUGUUCCUCAUUGGCUCAUUAUACCACAGCAGAGGGAGACAGUGGAUGUUGGGUACCUGUGCUGAUUUUCCUGGAAGAAACUAGAAACACCAGCCGUCACUCACGAAAUAAUGUUUUGUGGACAGAUGACUCAAACAUGAAACUUUUGGAUGACUUGUCCCCGUUUUGUCUGGCAAAAAACCAACAUUGCAUUCCUCACUAAGAACCACAACCACUUGGAAAUACAAUGUUCUGCAAUGAAUAGCUGGACGGAGUUCCCCUUACUGCAGGAGGCGUUUGGUGACAGACAUAUCAACUAAAGGCAACAUUUUUACGUUUAACUGGGAAAUUAACUUUUUUACACAGCUGUGUUGGGUUUCAAAUAACAAAACAAGCGGAGCCCAAAGUGUCACCGGGUCCUGAAUGUGACAAACCUACGGAAUCACCAGGUCCUGAUUGUGGCAAACCUACAGAAUCACCAGGUCCUGAUUGUGGCAAACCUAAGGAAUCACCAGGUCCUGAUUGUGGCAAACCUACGGAAUCACCAGGUCCUGAUUGUGGCAAACCUAAGGAAUCACCAGGUCCUGAUUGUGGCAAACCUACAGAAUCACCAGGUCCUGAUUGUGGCAAACCUACGGAAUCACCAGGUCCUGAUUGUG